UACGGGGGGGUGCGAGCGUUGUCCGGAAUCAUUGGGCGUAAAGCGCGUGUAGGCGGUCCGGUAAGUCCGCUGUAAAAGUCGGGGGCUCAACCCUCGGAUGCCGGUGGAUACUGUCGGGCUUGAGUACGGAAGAGGCGAGUGGAAUUCCUGGUGUAGCGGUGAAAUGCGCAGAUAUCAGGAGGAACACCAAUUGCGAAGGCAGCUCGCUGGGACGUUACUGACGCUGAGACGCGAAAGCGUGGGGAGCAAACAGG
rnacentral:rRNA from 1 species